rnacentral:rRNA from 1 species
AGCUCCAAUAGCGUAUAUUAAAGUUGUUGCAGUUAAAAAGCUCGUAGUUGAAUUUCGGAAUCUGUCCGUUGGUCGGGCUUAAUUGUCCGUACUGAUGUGAUGGGUUCUUACCUUCUGAAUAACCAGCAUGCCAUUAAUUUAGUGUGUUGGGGAAGCAGGACUAUUACCUUGAAAAAAUUAGAGUGCUCAAAGCAGGCUAGCGCCUGAAUACAUUAGCAUGGAAUAAUAAAAUAGGACGGCAUGGUUCUAUUUUGUUGGUUUCUAGGAUCACCGUAAUGAUUAAUAGGGAUAGUUGGGGGCAUUAGUAUUCAAUUGUCAGAGGUGAAAUUCUUGGAUUUAUUGAAGACUAACUUCUGCGAAAGCAUUUGCCAAGGAUGUUUUCA